rnacentral:lncRNA from 1 species
CGGGGCUGAGGCUCCGGUGAACGCCGUAGGCCCGGGCUGGGCCGAGGGAGAUGAUGGAUGCCGCUUCUUGCCACUCCCCGGGGGCACCACAGAGAGCGGGGAGCCUGCAGAGAGCAGGGACAGCGGCUUCAAACGCACUGUUUCCGGGCAAUGUCACUAAUACCAAAGUCAUGCCUCCCACUGGACACUCCUGGGCUCCCAUCCUUCCUACCAAGAAACUUUCUCUGUGAAACCCACGAAACAGCUAGAAAUGGAGCCCAAAAGAUAGCCAGGAUAACAGACCACAGAGAGGAUCAAGGCCCAGCAGGACCUGGCGACUCUAACGCUCUGGCACUAGGGUGUCUAGAAUGGGAAGCCCCCAAGGGGCUGGAGUGGGAUGGGGGUGUGAUGCAGGCCGCCCACCAGGUUCCCUCCGGGCAAAGCGGCAGGGCCCCGCGCUUCCUGAGCCUUCACGGAGGUCUAGUGGUCCCUCUGCCUGAAAACCUGUCUGUUUGUCAGGAGGAGUUCGGAGCAUAUAAUUUUGGGGAGCCAUUUUCUUCUAGGGAGUUCACUUUCCUGUGCGGGGCGGCGGAGGAAGACAACACAUAACUGAACGACAGAUGAAGAUAAAUUAUAAAAGAACAUUGUUUAAGUGUUUAAUCAGACAAUGAAGAGAAACCCAAAACAAUGAAACCUUUUCAAGGAAGUAAGAUACCUCGUAUACAUUAAGGUCUGCUGGAUCUUAUGAUGGAAGGAG